ACGCCUGCCACUCCUCUUUCCGUCUCUUGCCUGCAGAGUGAGCACGAUGGGAUGUUGGCUGACUGCUGACGGGGAGCUGGUGUCUCUGGGUUUGUGCUGCCGCUCUGGUACUGAAGGUGUUGGAGAUGGCUGUGGUCCUGCCUGGUGUCCUCGCUGCCCCAGCCCUCUGCACAGUCGUCAGUCCAGAGGACACAGCUAUGAACUACAGUGGUAACACAACCAACUCAUGGCUGCCCUGAGUGGAUGUGACUGAAGGUUGGUGCUGCAGCAAAGGGGGACCUCCUGAUCCCGGGGUCUCAGUCAGGAUCCACUCCAGAGGUCGUGGCUGACUCAUGAGCUGUGUGAAGUCAUUCUUCCGGUUGGAGCUGCAGCAAAGGGGGACCUCCUGAUCCCGGGGCCUCAGUCAGGAUCCACUCCAGAGGAUCCUGGAGGCGCUGAUGGUGUCUCAGCAACCGUCUGCUUUUCAGAUGCAGAUCAGUGGUCAGCUGACGGGUCAAGACUCAUCCAUCGCUUGCUUUGGAAGGAAACGGACUGUGAUGACUGUGUUUUAACAAUAAUCAAUCAAAUGUCAGCACUGGUCUCAGUCUCUGUUUGAUGUACCAAUGAUGUGAAUGACAUGGAAGCACAGUGGUGCAGGUCUUCAGAGGAGAAUCAACCCCUUGAGUUUACCUGGAGAAGCCUGGACGGCUGACUGGAGCUGUGACGGUACUGUAGGGGGUGAGGUCCAGAUCAGCCGGCAGGUCUGAGUCCAAAUGUCAACAGACGUGAUAAGUCACUCAGAAACAAAAUGAAAUGCUGCCAGUGAAUGUUCUUCUGUUUCUAAUGGAUUUAACAAGCUGGAACAAGUAGUGGUGUAAAAUCUUUUGCUGGAGAGGCUGUGGUAGAUUGAUCUCACCUUCUUUGGAGUGACUGAACUAUCCCAGAGAUAGAAGUGGGCUUCAAUGUUUCAGACAUGAUGCACUUGGUCAUCUGGUGAUCUGGGUCAUGUGACAUCUGUUCCCAUCAGGCUGGAUUUACAUUUCUAAUUUGCAGCCACCUCUGUGUGCUUUGAGGGCCCUGGAAAUAUCUGUGGUGUUGAGGUAAACAUUUAGCAUUUAAUACUGGAGUUACUGUGAACAGUUUUCAUCCUGAAGUUCGUCCUGGGGGGUGCUGGUGUGCUGUAACAGCACGGUCCCUCCACUUGGGGGCAGCAUAGCUCCACUAGCAGUGACUGGCCCCUGCUCACAGCAGCAUGUUCAUUAAUUACUUACUAAUUCUUCCCAACAUGGAGACAGGAUGUAGGAGCAGGUCACACUGCUUUAGUUCACCUCAGACAGGUGAUCAGCUGAAACAUCCUCUGGUGGAGUCCUGAGCUCAGUCACAGCUCUGGACACUUUAUUUUACAUAAGAAGUUAGAUUAUCACCACAGGUGUACAUCAUUUCCUGUAUUCAGGAAACCCUGAAUGGACGAGGCUGCUAUCUACUUAUUGAUGAUUAAAUAUUUUACAAGUUUCUCAGAAUAUUACCAGCAGGCUUUAGUGAAAUGCAUUUUUUAUGCUCUAAUUUCAAGUUGUAUGAUGAGCUUAGUGUAGUUAGACAUCAUACAAAAUGCACUGAAUGACAUAAUAGUUACUCGUGGUGGUAAUGUCGGUGGAACUUCUCCCUGAAGACGUCCCGCGGUGGUGAGGGUGUGCACGACAUGUUGCUGAACAGAAUACUGGACACAGGGCACAAUAUACUUAUGUAUAACUUGACCAACUACAAGAAAAUGAAUUACAGAUCCGUUUUCAAACCAGACACUACAACGUGACUAACAUGCCGGAUGGAGAGGUGGAGGAAAUGGGCGGAAUGGAGCUCUCAAUGAUGUUCUUCCUCACAGAGCGCUUUGCUCCACAGUCUGACAUUUGUAGUCAAACAAUUCACCUGUGAUUAAACGUCAUAUUCCAGAUUUUAUUUGAGGACCAGAAAGAGUUUUUACCCCAUUACCUUGUCCAUAUGAACUCUGAUUAGCAGGCUGAGGACCUGCAGAGUCCUGAUCAAAAACACAAAUCCAGAGUUUCAUAAGAAACAAGCCAUAGGACCUAAUCCUGACUUAUCUGUUGGUUCUGUUUGUUUCUUGAUUGGUGUUCUAAUGAUCUGUCAUUGAUCAGUGAUUCUGAGGAUUUUUUGUUGUUGGUUGACAUAACAAUUAGCUCUGAAUGAAUUAAAACACACAUGCCUCAUCAA